rnacentral:piRNA from 1 species
UGGGACCAAAACAAAAACAUUCUUACA